AGCAUGAAGGUGUUCCCUGGGCCCCAAGGUCAAGACAGCAAUGGUCUCUCUUCCACACACUCCAAACCCCUCAACUCCUUUUCCCCAGAGGAGGCAAGACAGCUUUCUUCGGUUGUGCAGUGCCGUAAGGGAAUCGGCUGCCCAAUCGCAGCACAGAGAGAUGUCACCUCGACCUGUGAAGACCCCUUUCCUUCCUUCCCUGGAAUUUUACUAAAAAGCUGAGCUGUAACAUAUGUAUAUUUGCAUAAAGUGUAUAAAUCUUACAGUAGCUACCAUCCUAGUCAAGAUGGAAAACAUUUCCACAUUCCCGUGGCCCCAGAAGCUUCUCCUUCACGUAAACACAACCACUAUCGUGACUUGUGUCACUGCGGUUUGGGUCAUAUGGAAUGCACUUUCGAUCUUGGCCUCCUUCUCAUCCCGUGAUGUUUUUGUGAUUCAUCCAGGCCAUUGUGUCUGUUGGACGUUUGUUCCUUUUCAUUGCUGAGAAGCCUUCCAUUACAGAGAUGAAUCUGUUUGUUUAGUCAUUCUGCUGGUAGGCAGCUGGGUUUGUUUCUGGGCUUGGCUGAUUGUAAAUAAAGUUGCUAUAAACAUU
rnacentral:lncRNA from 1 species